rnacentral:rRNA from 1 species
UGCAGUCGACGGUGAGCAGAGCUUGCUCUGUGGAUCAGUGGCGAACGGGUGAGUAACACGUGAGCAACCUGCCCUGGACUCUGGGAUAAGCGCUGGAAACGGCGUCUAAUACUGGAUACGAGACGUGGCCGCAUGGUCAACGUUUGGAAAGAUUUUUUGGUUCAGGAUGGGCUCGCGGCCUAUCAGCUUGUUGGUGAGGUAAUGGCUCACCAAGGCGUCGACGGGUAGCCGGCCUGAGAGGGUGACCGGCCACACUGGGACUGAGACACGGCCCAGACUCCUACGGGAGGCAGCAGUGGGGAAUAUUGCACAAUGGGCGAAAGCCUGAUGCAGCAACGCCGCGUGAGGGAUGACGGCCUUCGGGUUGUAAACCUCUUUUAGCAAGGAAGAAGCGAAAGUGACGGUACUUGCAGAAAAAGCGCCGGCUAACUACGUGCCAGCAGCCGCGGUAAUACGUAGGGCGCAAGCGUUAUCCGGAAUUAUUGGGCGUAAAGAGCUCGUAGGCGGUUUGUCGCGUCUGCUGUGAAAACUGGAGGCUCAACCUCCAGCCUGCAGUGGGUACGGGCAGACUAGAGUGCGGUAGGGGAGAUUGGAAUUCCUGGUGUAGCGGUGGAAUGCGCAGAUAUCAGGAGGAACACCGAUGGCGAAGGCAGAUCUCUGGGCCGUAACUGACGCUGAGGAGCGAAAGGGUGGGGAGCAAACAGGCUUAGAUACCCUGGUAGUCCACCCCGUAAACGUUGGGAACUAGUUGUGGGGACCAUUCCACGGUUUCCGUGACGCAGCUAACGCAUUAAGUUCCCCGCCUGGGGAGUACGG